rnacentral:rRNA from 1 species
UACCAGCUCUCCGAGUGGUGUGGAUGUUUAUUGGGCCUAAAGCAUCCGUAGCUGGCCAAGUUAGUCCCCUGUUAAAUCCACCGAAUUAAUCGUUGGAGUGCGGGGGAUACUGCUCGGCUAGGGGACGAGAGAGGCCGACGGUAUUUUCGGGGUAGGGGUGAAAUCCUAUAAUCCCGGGAAGACCACCAGUGGCGAAGGCUGUCGGCUAGAACGCGCCCGACGGUGAGGGAUGAAAGCUGGGGGAGCGAACCGGAUUAGAUACCCGGGUAGUCCCAGCUGUAAACGAUGCAGGCUAGGUGUUUGGGCGGCCACGGGCCGCUCUAGUGCCGCAGGGAAGCUGUUAAGCCUGCCGCCGUGGGGAGUACGGCCGCAAGGCUGAAACUUAAAGGAAUUGGGCGGGGGAGCACCACGAAGGGGUGAAGCUUGCGGUUU